rnacentral:lncRNA from 1 species
CUUCCGGGAGCGGCAGUGGACCCUGUGGCUCCAGGAGGCCCAGCUGGAGGUGGCGUGGAGGCGACAUUGGAAGGCCCUGCUGGCCCAGAGCUUCCGAGAGUGGAGACUCCUGGCGCAGCAGCAGAAACAAGGGCAGCUCCGUAUCCAGGCUGAGCUUGGACCUUGCACUUCCUGGGAGCCAAGGACCAAAUCCCUGCUGGGGAAGAGCGGCAGCGGGGUGCCCCCCACCCCGGGCAGCAGGGCAGGGAGCCAGAAGGAGGAGGAAGGAGCCUGGCCUCCUCCAUCACAGCCUAGGCAGAGACUGCACAGUGGAGAUGAUGAAGACGGGAGAGUCCAGACCCUGCAGGUCCUGCAGCAGCUGGCAGAUGGUGAACUGAGGCUCAAAGCCCAGAGAGGUUAAGUGAUCAGCUCAGGACGCACAGCACGAGAG